AUUUCUUGGCGUGUGAAGGGAUUCCCUUGGUGAGACGAAGGGGUGGUUAAACAGUCUGCUUUUGGAACAUAAAUGGGGACAAUAACCAAGUCUCAGAAACCCAGAGUCAAAAAAUUUAAAGACCAUCCUAUUAAAAAAAAAAAAAAAGAAAUAAAAAACGUCAACAACCUGCAACGAAGUCACUGUACCCCAUAAAAUCCCAAUUAGGCAUUUAAACCUUUCUAUCGAAAUUCACUUUUGGACCAUUUUAUGAAGUUGUCAAAAUUUCAGAGGCAAACGUUUAAAUCAAGGUCAAAAACCAGGAGAAGAAAAUGUAUCAGUUUCCAAUCCAAACUCUCUCCGAGCCCCCUAAAAACUGAUUUAUAACGCUGUCAUCAGUAACUUCAAAAGAAGCGAACGUUGACGGGCCGGGGCUUGGGAGAGCAGGACCCAAGGUACCAAGCAGGCCGCCUGACGCGCCACCAGAGAAAGAUCAGGGAACUCUCCCCACCCCAGUCACUGAAAGUAGUGCUUAGAGAGCCCAUCCCAAGCCUCCACCAAAGAAAUUCCUCUAAGAGAUAGAAGAGACGGAGACGAAGAGGGGCGGGCAGAUCCUCUCCGCGGACAGUGAGCGGGAGGAACUGCACCCGAAGGUCCACAGGUUGGCUGUGAUUAAGAUGAUAAUCUGCACUGGCUGGGCUUGACUGGGCUCAGCUGGACUCCUGACUUCAGGUUGGCUACAGAAGCGAGGCCUGCAGUCUGCUAAUGAGCUCCAUGUCGCCAUCCUGUGACCAAGGCAGAAGGAUUAGCUGGGACAUGUUCUUUUCAUGGCAGAGGGGAGAAGGUUCAAAACGGUUGGUGGAAGGUCUUUUAAAGCCCCAGCUGGACAUGUCCAUCCACAGCCUACUGGUCAAAGCAAGGCAUGCCGCCAAGCCUAAAGUCAAUGAGCAGGAAUUUGAAUUCCAUUUACUUUUUCGGGAAGCACUGCAAGGUCACAUGGCAAAAGGUGUGGAAAUUAAACAAACAAAUUUUCAGGCAUGCUGAGCUGAGAGUAAUCCAAUCCACCGUACUAUGUCUGAACUUUGCUUGCCCUCGCUUGUUUCCUACUGCAUGCAGGCUCUGUUGGUAAGGGCCAGAGGGCUCGUAGUCGUCUCUGUUUUACUUUCUCCAAGUUUAGCAGCCCUGCUGGGCAAAGACCAUCUUUCCAGGUAACUUUAUUUAAGUAAAAAAAAAAACUCUAAGAAGGACUCCAACUGAGCUGACGAUGGUCUAUACUUUCACCGUACCAAUCGCCACAGCCAAGGAGGAUAAAGUCCUCUGAUGGGCCAGCCUAGGCCACAUUUCCGCGCCUGGUCAUCUGAGGCUGGGCAGGAGAUGGCGCUAGCUUUGCUAGCCUCACCGGGAUCACAUUACCUUGUAGAGAAUGCCUAAAGGAACCGAUGCUGGACAUAGGCACUACAGCCUCUAAUCAUCAUAAGAAACUAGAGGCCUGGGAAGCCAAGUAACAGCCCAGCCCAGUGAAGUCAAUGUGAGUGAAGCUGUCAGCGAAUGCCAGGCCCCGGGCACCUGAGCCAUAGCAGCGGGGCUUAGGCUGAAAUUUCUGAUGUGCUUCUGAUCCUCCUGUUGUGGACCUGGACAAGGACCCUGUGACGAUGUGGAGCUUGCUCGGUAUACGUCCAGCAUUAAAAGCUAGGAAAAGCAAUGGCGGGAGCAAUGAUGUCUGUGAAGCUGUAUCGAUAAAGUUUUAUUUAUUUAUUUUUAAUGUGAAAAAGUAAACGCAUCUGAAUCUCGGGGAAAAGCUACACCACUUCAGCUUCUGGAUUCAGUCAUUCCUGCUUGUUCAGAACCACAGGGUAAAAUGAGCACUGCAUUUACAAAGGUCUAAUCACAAGUGAGGGCACCAUCUCAACCUUUCACCGGGCGUCAAGGUGCAGCGGCCUCCGUAGACUUCUGACUCAGAACACCAGGCCAGACGCCAUCUGGGAGCACAUCUAGACUUUCUAUGAUAAAAAGGUAUAAUUUAGUUGAAGCAAUAAAGUUGGUGAGUAAAGCCUUUUCAAAUGAGCUGUAAGUGAGCAGAGGGGAGGACGCCCCAGGGGCAGUGUGGAGUUGCCCAGAGUGGAAGCGAGGCAGGCACUCGCUAAUGAGCGCCCAGGCAGGAGGAGGGAGGACGCAGGCUGAGAACCUUUGGCCUCCAAGCAAGGCUUCCAAGGAAAACCAAAGGGCCGAGCUCCCCUUUCCUCCCGGUUUAUUCUCUUUCCCUUGGGAGCCUGCCCUGCUCCCCACUCAAAUUCUCAGCCUGAGAAAGUAAUAGCACUCACCUCUUCAAAUUCUUCCAGAGAUUAGAGUGUGGCAGGAGGACAGCGCGCUUCUGGCCUGAGCUUUUGGAGGCCAUGUGACUCCAGAAUGAGUCCGCCUGGUUUUUGUGAAUGAGCCUAACUAAAAUGAGUCCUCUUAUUUUUUCACCAGAAAAAACAAGAUGUGUCGAGGGGCUCUUCCGGCUGUGAAAGGGCUGUAUCCCAGCAACAGCUCAUGAUGUUUCUGACAACUUACUAGCAUUUAUUUGAGAGUGAUUAAAAACAGCAUGUGUAAAGCA